rnacentral:rRNA from 1 species
CCUACGGGUGGCAGCAGUGAGGAAUAUUGGUCAAUGGACGAGAGUCUGAACCAGCCAAGUAGCGUGAAGGAUGACUGCCCUAUGGGUUGUAAACUUCUUUUAUAUGGGAAUAAAAUGUUCCACGUGUGGGAUUUUGUAUGUACCAUAUGAAUAAGGAUCGGCUAACUCCGUGCCAGCAGCCGCGGUAAUACGGAGGAUCCGAGCGUUAGCCGGAUUUAUUGGGUUUAAAGGGAGCGUAGGUGGAUUGUUAAGGCAGUUGUGAAAGUUUGCGGCUCAACCGUAAAAUUGCAGUUGAAACUGGCAGUCUUGAGUACAGUAGAGGUGGGCGGAAUUCGUGGUGUAGCGGUGAAAUGCUUAGAUAUCACGAAGAACUCCGAUUGCGAAGGCAGUUCACUGGACUGCAACUGACACUGAGGCUCGAAAGUGUGGGUAUCAAACAGGAUUAGAUACCCCUGUAGUC